rnacentral:rRNA from 1 species
CGUGUAGAGGGUUGACGGUACCGUACGAAUAAGCAUCGGCUAACUCCGUGCCAGCAGCCGCGGUAAUACGGAGGAUGCAAGCGUUAUCCGGAUUCAUUGGGUUUAAAGGGUGCGCAGGCGGAGAAUUAAGUCAGUGGUGAAAUCCUGCAGCUUAACUGUAGAAUUGUCAUUGAUACUGGUUUUCUUGAAUGCAGUUGAGGUAGGCGGAAUGUGUAAUGUAGCGGUGAAAUGCUUAGAUAUUACCCAGAACACCGAUUGCGAAGGCAGCUUACUAAACUGUGAUUGACGCUGAGGCACGAAAGCGUGGGGAGCGAACAGGAUUAGAUACCCUGGUAGUCCACGCUGUAAACUAUGAUCACUCGUUGUUGGCAAUACAUCGUCAGCGACUGAGCGAAAGCAUUAAGUGAUCCACCUGGGGAGUACGAUCGCAAGAUUGAAACUCAAAGGAAUUGACGGGGGCCCGCACAAGCGGAGGAACAUGUGGUUUAAUUCGAUGAUACGCGAGGAACCUUACCUGGGCUUAAAUGCAUAACGACGGACCGGGAAACUGGUCUUUCUUCGGACGGCAUGCAAGGUGCUGCAUGGCUGUCGUCAGCUCGUGCCGUGAGGUGUCGGGUUAAGUCCCAUAACGAGCGCAACCCUUAUCAUUAGUUGCCAGCGGGUAAUGCCGGGGACUCUAAUGAAACUGCCGGUGUAAACCGAGAGGAAGGUGGGGAUGACGUCAAGUCAGCACGGCCCUUAUGUCCAGGGCUACACACGUGUUACAAUGGUCAGUACAGAGGGAAGCUACCAGGCGACUGGAUGCUAAUCUCAAAAACUGGUCUCAGUUCGGAUCGGAGUCUGCAACUCGACUUCGUGAAGUUGGAUUCGCUAG